CAUUAAAGAGAUAGGACGAAAGUCCAACCUCCAACCCUUUGUUUUAAACCACUAGUUGCCUUGCCUUAUGUCGGCUGACUGAGGCAUGGGGAAACCCGUGCCAAUUUCACGCCCGGCCUCUAGGGCAGUGGACCUUUAAACUCGAAUAUCAGUGUAGUCUGAGAAAAAAUUCAAUGAAUUAAAACUUUCAACAACGGAUCUCUUGGUUCUCGCAUCGAUGAAGAACGCAGCGAAAUGCGAUAAGUAAUGUGAAUUGCAGAAUUCAGUGAAUCAUCGAAUCUUUGAACGCACAUUGCGCCCUCUGGUAUUCCGGAGGGCAUGCCUGUUCGAGCGUCAUUUGCUAAACUCAAGCCUACUUGUAGGCCUGGUCUUGGGUGUUGUCCUCUCCGGAAGACACACCUCAAAUGCAACGGCGACACUGCCUGGCUCCAAGCGUCUAGGAAACUUCAUCGCUUCUUGUCAGAUAAAUGUCUGCCCCUCAACCCCAAUUUUCAUCUGGGUUGACCUCGGAUCAGGUAGGGGUACCC
rnacentral:rRNA from 1 species